GUUGGCUUAGAAGCAGCCACUCAUUCAAAGAGUGCGUAAUAGCUCACUGGUCGAGUGGUUUUGCGCAGAAAAUGUAACGGGGCUAAGUGUUCAACCGAAGCUUAGGCAUUGUACUUUGUACAUUGGGUAGGGGAGCGUCGUAUGCGGGGCGAAGUCAGAGCGGAAGCACUGGUGGACUGCAUACGAGUGAGAAUGCCGGAAUAAGUAGCGAGAAUUAUGUGAGAAUCAUAAUGGCCGAAAAUCUAAGGUUUCUUGGGGAAGGUUCGUCCGCCCAAGGUUAGUCGGGAGCUAAGCUCAGGCCGAAAGGCGUAGGCGAUGCACAUACGGUAGAAAUUCCGUAACCACCGAACUUUAAGCUAGAGGGACGCUUUCUUUAAGGUUAUCCCGGGCGAUGGUUGCCCCGGGCGUAAGGGACCGAAAUUUAGUAGGGAAGUAACUGGCGAGAGAGACGAGAAAAGCUCUAGUGUAUACUAAGGUGCCCGUACCGCAAACCGACACAGGUAGAUGGGAUGAGUAUUCUAAGGCCAACGGGAGAAGGGUUGUUAAGGAACUCGGCAAAUUGGCCCCGUAACUUCGGGAUAAGGGGCGCCUGCGAGAGCAGGCCGCAGUGAAAAGGCCCAAGCGACUGUUUAGCAAAAACACAGCUCUCUGCUAAAUCGAAAGAUGACGUAUAGGGGGUGACGCCUGCCCGGUGCUGGAAGGUUAAGGGGAGUGCUUAGCGCAAGCGAAGGUGCGAACUUAAGCCCCAGUAAACGGCGGCCGUAACUAUAACGGUCCUAAGGUAGCGAAAUUCCUUGUCAGGUAAGUUCUGACCCGCACGAAUGGCGUAACGAUUUGGGCACUGUCUCAACAGCCCGCCCGGCGAAAUUGUAGUACCGGUGAAGAUGCCGGUUUCCCGCAACUAGACGGAAAGACCCCAUGGAGCUUCACUGUAGCUUGAUAUUGGAUCUCGGUAUUCCAUGUACAGGAUAGGUGGGAGGCUAGGAAGCGAGCGCGCCAGCGUUCGUGGAGCCAACCUUGGGAUACCACUCUUGGGAUAUUGGGAUUCUAACCUGCGACCAUGAAUCUGGUCGGGGGACACUGUCAGGUGGGCAGUUUGACUGGGGCGGUCGCCUCCAAAAGAGUAACGGAGGCGCUCAAAGGUUCGUUCAGCACGGACGGAAAUCGUGCACUGAGUGUAAACGCAUAAACGAGCCUAACUGCGAGAAUGACGGUUCGAGCAGUAACGAAAGUUGGAGUUAGUGAUCCGGCGGUAUGUGAAUGGAAAUGCCGUCGCUCAACGGAUAAAAGCUACCCUGGGGAUAACAGGCUGAUCUCCCCCAAGAGUCCACAUCGACGGGGAGGUUUGGCACCUCGAUGUCGGCUCAUCGCAUCCUGGGGCUGUAGUAGGUCCCAAGGGUUGGGCUGUUCGCCCAUUAAAGCGGUACGCGAGCUGGGUUCAGAACGUCGUGAGACAGUUCGGUCCCUAUCUGUUGCGGGCGCAGGAAUAUUGAGAGGAGCUGUCCUUAGUACGAGAGGACCGGGAUGGACGUACCGCUGGUGCACCAGUUGUUCUGCCAAGGGCAUAGCUGGGUAGCUAAGUACGGACGAGAUAAACGCUGAAGGCAUCUAAGCGUGAAACUCCCCUCGAGAUAAGUGUUCCCAUCCUUCGGGAGUAAGGCCCCUUGUAGACUACAAGGUUGAUAGGUCAGGAGUGGAAGUGCAGUAAUGUAUGGAGCGGACUGAUACUAAUAGGCCGAGGGCUUGACCUU
rnacentral:rRNA from 1 species